AUGCCCUCGCUUCCCAUCACUACCCCUACCCCGAUAUAUUUUGUCCUUUUGACAGCAGCACUGUAUACUAUCUUCAUUAGGGAAAAUCCAGCUUCUUCUUCAAGGCCUACGCCGGACAACUCCUCUGUGAAGCCUUCUGUGAAGUUUGGAUUGUUAUUUGGCACAGAUUCCCUCUGCAUUGCCCACUGGUUCCAAAAGAAUGAGACAGGGCAGACUUCAACCAAACCCCUGCCCAGGAGCCAAUCCAGCUGCCCAGCAGAGGCUGGCAGGGCUGCCCAAGUCAAUCUGCAGACACAGGAGUCAGAAGUAAAUCCUUAUAAUGACAGCUCAGUCUCAGUGGGAGCCCCAGGCCUCUGCUUCCAGGAUACAUCUGCAAAUUUGGACAACGUUCAGAAGCCCCAAGCUUUGGUAUCCACUGCGGGAAGUAGAAAACACUCAGAGCAUGGCUGCCCUACCUGGGAGCAUUUGGAACACAACGGCUUCUUUCAUAGCCAGGCUAAAGAAUGGAGACAGAGAGAAGAUCUGACUUCAGAAGUGCAAUAA
rnacentral:lncRNA from 12 species